CAGGUGCUGCAUGGCUGUCGUCAGCUCGUGUUGUGAAAUGUUGGGUUAAGUCCCGCAACGAGCGCAACCCUUAUCCUUUGUUGCCAGCGAUUCGGCCGGGAACUCAAAGGAAACUGCCGGUGAUAAACUGGAGGAAGGUGGGGAUGACGUCAAGUCAUCAUGGCCCUUACGACUAGGGCUACACACGUGCUACAAUGGCGCAUACAAAGAGAAGCGACCUCGCGAGAGCAAGCGGACCUCAUAAAGUGCGUCGUAGUCCGGAUUGGAGUCUGCAACUCGACUCCAUGAAGUCGGAAUCGCUAGUAAUCGUGGAUCAAAAUGCCACG
rnacentral:rRNA from 1 species